GUUUCCAGAAAUAUUUUUUUGGGGGGUGGGGUAGGGUGAGUCAAUAGCAGAUGAACAACCUGGUAAAUUUCAACUGCAUUAAGAUAGCUUCUACUUCAUAAUGCUGGAGAGAAAGAGUGUUUUUCCAAGUAAGAGUAAUACCAGGGAGAGAGAGCACAGAUCGUUGGCCCAGAAACUGGAGCAGGGGCAGUUAUUAAAAAUCUCCCUAUUGGUAUUUUUUCACAUUGGAACGGCUCUUGUUUCCACCAGGACAAGCGAAGAACAAAAAACGUGUUCUCGAACUAGCAGGAGAGGAAGCGAGCGUGCAACCGCCAGCGCUUUACAGCAACAUGCGAGUUCCCCUAAAGGAGGGCUCCGAUUCUCAGGAGGGGAGCUUCUCUCCUGCAGGCCUCCUGCAGUUCUUUGAAGAGAAGCAGCACAGACUUCCCUGCUGUGGAGCUGAGAAAUUCCAGAGGUGAUGAUGGGGGAUCUCUGCCCUCUCCCACAGAGUUCAUGAACUCCGCAGGAGAGAAGCAGCAGAUGCUCACUUUUCAGGUUUGGUUCUGUGGAUGUUCAGCUGAAUCAAUUUUAGAACCAGUGGGAUACAACCUAGAAGGAGCACUGCUUCUGUCCCAUCCAGUGCCCCAAAUCAACUGUCACAACCUUGCCCUGUCCUCUCUUCUGGACAAGCCUAAGUCUGUUGUAAAGGGACCCAACUCUUGGGUCCAUGUACUUCGAAGCGUCCUUGAGUCUGGGAAGUGAUUGGUCAUUGUUCUUAGCUCUGGCUCACUCCCAGGGGCAGACCUUGUGUUUGACACCCAUCUUGGACAGUGGGACCCUGCAGUUUGGCUAUCUUAGACCCUGGAACUAGUGUCACAGCCCUCCAGAACCCCCAGUUGCUUAGACAUAUUCCGCCAGUGUACCUGAUUGUGAGAUCUCUGGUUCCUAGUUACAUCCUUCAGGGACAAUGUGGCUGGAAGACAAAGAACACAGACUUAUUGAAGAAAUGUCUUUAAUGGUAGACGCUUUCUCCCUUAACAAAGUACACUAGAGAGUUAUAGAUUUAUUAAAAAUAACACAAUCCCCUUGCCUUACCUCACAGCUCCUGUGAGUCCUUGAUUUGGUCAGCAUUCUUAAGCUACAAAGCCCUUUUUGGCCUGGUCGUGCAUAUACCAUUGGUUUGCCGCCUUGGUCAGAGAUGCAGCCACCUUUUAAAACAGACUCUGCCUCUGUUCUCCUUUUCCCCAUAUGCUUCAGACGGAGAAUUUCCCUCCUCCCCAUAGCUUCUAUGUAGAGAGUCAUUCAAAGUCAAUAGCCCUUCUGGUAGAAAACCCAUUAUUCUGGUAGGGGAGACUCAUUGAACAUUUAUGGCUUUUGAUGGCUCUCUCAGAGCUUCUCAGACUAAGGCUAUGGCUACACUACAGCUUAAAUAGACAUAAAUUAUGUCCUCAGGGGUCUGAAUAAGCCACACCCCCUCCCAAGCGACAUAAUUUAUGACGACUUAAGCGCUGGUGUGGACAGUGCUAUGUUGGUGGGAGAGCUUCUCCUGCUGACAUAGCUACCGCCGCUCGCAGGGGCUGGAGUAAUUACACCAAUGGGAGCUGCUGUAAGCUCUCUAGUGUAGCUAUAGUCUUUCCACUAGGUGUUAAGCCCCUGCUACUAAAGGAAUCCUCCAAAUCCACAAACGAGGUUGCAAUAUAACAUGAAGGUCACACUUCAAAAUGAAGGUUACAAUACAGAGUAGAACCCCUGAAACAUAGUGGAGUUCACCAAACAACAUGGAAUUCACAGGUUGACACAGAUAUAUCCCCCAAUCUGUCACACCAAACACCCACAGUUCUGAGUAGUUAAGAUGUGCAAAAUUCUAUGUUAUUAUGUUAUCUUUGACAGUGGGACAAAAAUAGAAACAAAUUAUGAUGCAUAAUGGUACACUUUUAUAUUUUAUUAUUUUUAAAAAUAGUCCAUGAAAUACAAAAGAAAAGCCUAUCAAUCCUUAUGAUGGCACCGACUUUCAAAAAGACCUAACCCAGAGAAGAUCUUGAAAGCUUAUCUUUCUCACCAACAGAAGCUGGUCCAAUAAAAGACAUUACCUCACCCACCUUGUCUCUCUAAAAAGACCUCAGCUCAACCUCCAACUUUGUGCCAGCAAAUCUGUGUCUGCAAAUAGUUGUGGGCGUAUUCUGUAGCAUUUAUACAUCUGAUUUGGAGGUUCAGUCAGGCACUUAGAUAAAACUAGGAAGCGCAUCCACUAUUACUGGAUGCCUCCAACUUGUAAAUACAAUUACUUGUGGGUGCAAAAUCAGAGACAGCUUCUGAAGAUAGGGGUUUAUAUCAUUACCAAGUAGAAAGCUUCAUUAACUAUCAGUAAACACUGUUAAAUUCAGUUCCAAAGACAAUGUAGCACAAC